CUUUAUUGAUAUGAGAAACUGAAUUGUAUUACAGACUUUUGUAUUGCAGGAAAUAGAGACUUGAUCUGUAUUUUUACGAGUGAAACAUUGUGUUGUGUAAUAAGAAAAGACAUGACUCUUCAUAAGACACAACAUAUAAAUCAUGACUCUUAACGUUUCGGGGGACGUUGUGUCGCCUUUGUAGAUGC